UUUAAAAAAAAGAAUGGUACAUGCAAAGGCCUGUGUACUUGGAGCACACGGCUGGUUCUGUCUUCACAGGGCCUUCAAGGAUCCUCACUCCUUUUCUGCUGAGAUGCUCACUGGUUCAUCACAGGCCGGCCUGUGGACUUGCACUUAGAUCAGCGUCCUGCCAGCCAGACACACCCACUCCCCACUCUCCUGUUGCUCUGGAAGCUCCCUCCCACCCAGUGCAUCACGGGAGACACCGAGAUGCCCUUAAGGAGCUUGCGUUCACCGAGGAGACAGAGCUGUUGAGUGGAGGGGCUGCAGAGAGAAGGGCCAGAGCCCCCAUCAGACCUCUGACCUAGGCCUGGACAGCCAGACUAAGUGGCUGAGAGGGCCCCCUGGGCCAGGGGAAUGCUGAAAAGAAAGGCCAGGAGGCAGCUCUUAGGGCUCCUAGGUGACCCUUGAGGAGAGCUGUCCUGCUAGUUCUGGAGGUCUGAGGCCUCAACGGCCACAUGCUUGAGGGAUGAGAGUCCUUGUCCCUACAGAUGACAUCACAUGUAUGCUGGUCGUGGCAGUUUGGGACCAGGGAGCCAGUGCUGGUGGAGAAGAAAGGGAGCCACAGAGGAUGGCGUCUUGGAGCAAGCGCUAGGAAGCACAGCCCCCACUCGGGGCCAGGAGGCAGGAGAGCAGGAGAUUCACACGGCCGAGGUGUGGGCAUGGAACUCCAGUUCUGCCUCGGACAUGCUGGGUGACGUGAAGCCUCAAUUUUCCCAUCUGUAAAGUGGGGGUCCACUGAAGGGCAUAAUGAGGGCUCCAGAUGAUGGGUGAGAAAGGCCUUGGCAAGAGCUCACGUGCCCUGCAGACACACGUGUUAGUGCAGAGACCUCUGAAGGAAGGCCUCCCCCAGGGCAGCCUCUCUUCCACACCAUCACAGGCGCGGGGCUUUCAACAGACAGUACUGCCCGCCUACUGCCUAGGAGGCCCGGCUGGGCCCCAGGUUCUCAGGGAUCCACCCGCCCCCACCCCGCACUAGCGCACCCCUUCCUCACCUCCCAGCCUCUCACAUCCCCUCGGGCAGCGCUCUGGGUGCAGCCAGCAGCCAGCAGCCCGGCCCCAGGGCGGCAGGCCGGGAUUCCAUGCACCUGGGACGAAAGCAGAGGUGGCCUGGAGAGCCUGCGAGCCCAAGCGCCGGUCCUACUCAGCCACACGUUUCCAGCGGGAUUUUCCGAGUUUCUUCGCCCCAGGUGGCGCGCACGUGACCCACGCCGAGCCAAUCGGCGUCUUCUGCAGGGAAUUUGCAAUCAGGACCCAAAGACUUCAGCUGAGGCCACCUGGCUUCACAUCUAGAGGCCACGUCGAGCCGGGAGCUGUUGACAGCUGUGCUUUCCGCUACCGACCGGAGGCGUGAGCAGAGCCAGGGGACAGCGGCAAGGCAAGGAAAUGGAAGCUCGGAGAAGUAGCCAUUUGUCCGAGGCCUGCUUUCGUCCACCUCUUCCGAAGGCUCAGCGCCACGGCUCCUGCUGCGUUUCAUUGGCCCCCUUGUCCACAAGUCACGGGU